AUUUUACUCUUUUUGACCCCAUUUAGGGUUUUCUUGGUAAAGAUACUGGAGUGAUUUGCCAUUUCUUUCUCCAGGUCAUUUUACAGUUGACUAAAAUAAGGCAGCCAUGAUUAAGUGAUUUGCCCAGAGUCGAAGUCACCUAAAGAACACGGAGGGUGGACAGCGCCUACCAUGGGAAGAUACCAAGGAAUUCUCAUCAUCUUUCAUCUGGCUGCUUUCCUGGACUUUAUCAUUUCAAGAAACUCAUUAUUCUGCAAGAUGAAAUCUACUCUCAAACUCUCAUCUCCUCAGAUUAUUUCCUACUCCAGCUGCAGGACUUUAUCAUGCCUCCACUUUGGGGCAAAGACUUGCCAAGGAUCUCUAAGCCAGCAACUUUUCUGGGGAAGAAUUCAAACUCAGGUCUUCCUGACUAUGCCUCCAGUACUCUAUCCACUAAAAUGGAGUCAGCAUUUGAGGUGAGUGGGAGGAAGAGGAAGUAUAGAGAAAUAGGGGGAGGAAAUUAAAAAAAAAAUUCUAAGCAUAAGACAAAAAAUUGAGGAGAGAUACAAGGUAGAGAAUAAAAUCUUUGAUGAGCCCUUUGUUCUUGUUGUU
rnacentral:lncRNA from 1 species